CACGGGGGGGGCAAGCGUUGUUCGGAAUUACUGGGCGUAAAGGGCUCGUAGGCGGCCAACUAAGUCAGACGUGAAAUCCCUCGGCUUAACCGGGGAACUGCGUCUGAUACUGGAUGGCUAGAGUGUGGGAGAGGGAUGCGGAAUUCCAGGUGUAGCGGUGAAAUGCGUAGAUAUCUGGAGGAACACCGGUGGCGAAGGCGGCAUCCUGGACCACGACUGACGCUGAGUGAGCGAAAGCCAGGGGAGCAAACAGG
rnacentral:rRNA from 1 species